ACUCCUACGGGAGGCAGCAGUGGGGAAUAUUGCACAAUGGGCGCAAGCCUGAUGCAGCCAUGCCGCGUGUAUGAAGAAGGCCUUCGGGUUGUAAAGUACUUUCAGCGGGGAGGAAGGCAAUACGGUUAAUAACCGUGUUGAUUGACGUUACCCGCAGAAGAAGCACCGGCUAACUCCGUGCCAGCAGCCGCGGUAAUACGGAGGGUGCAAGCGUUAAUCGGAAUUACUGGGCGUAAAGCGCACGCAGGCGGUCUGUCAAGUCGGAUGUGAAAUCCCCGGGCUCAACCUGGGAACUGCAUUCGAAACUGGCAGGCUUGAGUCUUGUAGAGGGGGGUAGAAUUCCAGGUGUAGCGGUGAAAUGCGUAGAGAUCUGGAGGAAUACCGGUGGCGAAGGCGGCCCCCUGGACAAAGACUGACGCUCAGGUGCGAAAGCGUGGGGAGCAAACAGGAUUAGAAACCCUGGUAGUCCCAUG
rnacentral:rRNA from 1 species